rnacentral:rRNA from 1 species
GACGAACGCUAGCGGCAGGCCUAAUACAUGCAAGUCGAACGGUGUAGCAAUACACAGUGGCGCACGGGUGCGUAACACGUAUGCAACCUACCUUACAUUGGGGGAUAGCCUUUCGAAAGGGAGAUUAAUACCGCAUAAGACAGUAACUAGGCAUCUAGUAGCUGUUAAAGAUUUAUCGAUGUAAGCUGGGCAUGCGUCCAGUUAGUUAGUUGGCGAGGUAAUGGCUCACCAAGACGAUGAUUGGUAGGGGAACUGAGAGGUCAAUCCCCCACACUGGCACUGAGAAACGGGCCAGACUCCUACGGGAGGGAGCAGUAGGGAAUAUUGGGCAAUGGGCGCAAGCCUGGCCCAGCCAUGCCGCGUGCAGGAAGAAGGCGUUAUGCGUUGUAAACUGCUUUUAUACAGGAAGAAACCACCCUUGCGAGGGGCAUUGACGGUAAUGUAUGAAUAAGCACCGGCUAACUCCGUGCCAGCCGCCGCCGUAACAC